GAUCCUCUGUGGGGCCCACAGCCUGCUUCCAGGUGUUUCUUAGAGACAUUCCAAAUCCUAUCUCCUUGACUGUUCAUAACCUUGUGGGCUUUUAUCCUUGGUCCCUUCCCAAAACUGAUUUAGUUGCCAUGUAGGUUCAUAGGCUGUAUCUUCCAGCAUUGAAAUAUAGAGAGUCUUAAUCUAAGUAGGCUUAAUCCAAGCAGGACGUGGGAAUGACUUGCCCAUGGUCAUCUAGCUACCGGGCAGAGACCUGGUUUACAUGCCUCCCCUUAUUUCCUUCCACCAUGCUCUCCUGAGUCACAGGCGAUUCCAGCUUUAUUCGAAGCCUGGACUCUGUAACCUUGGUGCCUUGACCUUCACCGUUCCACCUUCUUGCAGCUCCACGCUGGGAGGAGUUUUCCUAAAUUCCUUUAAAUA
rnacentral:lncRNA from 1 species